rnacentral:lncRNA from 1 species
AAGUUUUUAUUCCUUAUUAAGAAGUUUUUAAAUCACAAAAUAGUGUGGAAAUAUUUAGAUAAUAGAAUUCAUGGAGUGCUGGAAAAUACUGAAUAUAAAGAUUGAUUUCUAAUAUAUCACAUACUAAACUGUCCUAAAACAGCUGGUUUCUUGCAGACAGGAUUUAUUUUUUUUUAAUAAUUUAAGACAGCAUAAGCUUGUAUCAAGCAUAAGCAUUGUAACAAAAGUGCAACUUUUUCAGCAAAUCCUCCCAAAAGAUAUUUAACUCAAAAUAUCAUUAACACAUAUUUUUCUCCCUACAAAAAUAGCAUGUCAGACAUCAUUAAUUGGAUGUAUUAACAACUAUUUACAUACAGCCACUCUGUAGGCUAGUAAGAUUUCUUUUUUUUUUCUUUUUUUUUUUUUUUUUUUUUUUUUGUAACGUUGUUUAAACACAGCGUUUGAGGCAAACAGUAGCAACAGCAGCAGCAGAUGCACCAAAUGGACUGACGGACCCCGGACACGCACACACUCCUCGCCAGGCUGUGGUGUCUCACCUCUUACAUAACAUUCAAGUGAGAUUUCUCACAGUGCUACCUUGGCAACAAACUAAAAAUAUCUAGGCAAGGUCUUGGUUUAAGCCUUAUUAUAAAAGCUUUAUCUGUGUGAUUAUCUGGCGUCUGGUUUGUCUCCAGAAAGGGAAAACGCAGUAUUUGAACAUGGGAUGAGGGAAAAACCCAUAUGGGAAACUUACCCCAACGGGGUUGUUUCUGGUUGCACAGCGAGGUGUUUACCUAUGGCCUCCAGUUUGUGUCACUCGGAAUUUAGAAUAAAAUGAGUUCAGGCUGACAAGCUGCUCUGUGGUUUUUUGGGGGAGAGAAGGGGGUUUCUUUUUGUAGUUCAGUGCAGUAACAUUCAUUUUAUACAGCAAGGUUUUGGGGGAAAAGAAAAUCUCUCAGGUACAUACUGAAUUAAAUAAUGGGGUGAGAACAAAUGCACUUGCCACACCUGUAUACCUUAACCAAAAAAAAAAAGAAAAAAGAAAUAAACACAAGGUUAUGUAAUGGGUCUGACCCUCUUUUCCUUGCACACCCAAAACUUGCUGGAGCCAGCGGCAUUCCCGGGUGCUCAAGGCACUGCAGGUUUGGGCUCAGGGUGCAUCCUCCACACUCCGGUUCUCCAUAAAGUGCUAGCACAGGUGCUGGGCUCUGCCCUUCCUCCCUCGCCUCGCUCUCCUCCCUCACCCUGAACCCAUCCAGGUCUCCCGGACAACAAGUGCAAGUUCCCAAGUGGGACUUAGGGACACACUGUAUAAACCCAUUCCAAAUAAGGUGCCACAUUUAAUUACUCUAUAUAGAAGAAAAAAAAAGUAUCCUUACUAUGUUUUCUUCCUUCUUCUUCUUUUUUUUUUUUUUUUUUUUUUUUUUUGUUUGUUUUCCUUAUUUAUGCAUUUAUAAAGCCAAACAUUAAAAAAAUACUGAGUAGCAAACUUUAUCCUCG